AUGGCAUUUCUUACCCUUCUGUGGGCAAUCACUGCUUCCAACUGCCUUGGAUCCAGCGUGGCCCAGAGCAUCUCUCAGCCUGAAACAACAGCGUCCGGAAAGGAGGGGGACACUCUGACCCUGCCCUGCACCUAUGAUACCAGCGAUAAUAACUAUUAUUUGUUCUGGUACAGACAGUCUCCCAGGGGAAACCUGAUUUACCUUAUCAGUCAGAGUUCUUGGGCUUCAGAAAAUGCAAGAACUGGCAAAUUCUCUGUGACUUUCCAGAAAGAGAAUAAGUCCAUCGACCUCACCAUCACAGCCUUACAGCUGGGGGACUCGGCUGUGUAUUUCAGUGCUUACGACAAAGUCCACGGUGAGAUGACUGGCAGGAGGAGCUGUACAAAAACCCCAGAGCCCUGA